CCCCAAACCCGCCUUCCUCAAACCCACCAGCUGAUUCCAGCUACCUGUACUGCUGUCGAAAGAUUGAUUUUGGAGCAGCAAGGGGAGCUGCACCUCAAGGUUGAUCACAUCAUGGCCCUUCUUCAACAACUUUUGCAAAACCGUGAUGUAGAGAGGGGUGAAAAACAACGGCGAGAAUACGACCAGAAAAUUCCCUUAACCUCAACACAGGACCUUGACGAUUUCGAUGAGCUGCUAGACAGUGACUCAAAUUUUAAGAAAUACAUGAUCUCCAAGUUGGCUGUCACUGGCGGAACCACUGUAAAAAAGAUGGUUUGGAGGAUAUGCCAAAAGGUGUUCUCAAACCAACUUGCCACACAACUAAAUUGGUGUGGGAGAGG